CAUUUAUUAACAUAUAUAGUAACCAUUACUACGUGCCUGAAUGAUAAGAUAUAUAAACAUUGAUUUCAAUAGUUUAUUAAUAAUUACUAACUCAUUCUGAAUGAUUCUAAAAACCCUCAACUACUCUUAAAUACAAAUGGUUUGUAAAUAAUGCGAUACUUCAUUUAGUAAUGAAAAAUAAAUUAUUAACAAAGUAUGAAAGUACAUAUAAUAAGCACAUUAUAAAUGUGUUUAUAAGUCAAGAAUACGCUAUUUGUAGCUGCAGUAAUAAACUGCUUACUAACGCUUAUUAAUGUAGAGUUAAUGCUUCAGAUAAUGAAUUCACUAGAUGCUAAUGCUUAAUAAAUGAUUCAUAGUGUGUAGUUAUUAUGAAGUGUUACCGAAAUGUUUGAUCAACACAGUCUGUUUAAUUGAGAUCUUUCAGUUAAAGAGGAGGAAUGUUGGAGAGCUGUUGUCAGAGCUUUUACAGCAAACCAAGACUCAAGAGCCUACAGAUUUUGAUUCUCCUGGAGGACAAGCCUGCAGACUUCUUUAAACCAUGCUUUGACUCUGAUGAUCCAGUCAUUCCACCACCUUGAAAUCCUAUUCUUAUUGCAGACAAAGCCUCAGUUAAGAUGAUCAUUGAGGGACAACUUGUGAUGGACUGCAUCAAAGACUUGUCAAAAGCUGUGCAUUCUCUUUGGACUACUAUACCCCAAGUCGACGAAGAACACUUUUCUCUUCAUCCAACAAAUUUCUCCUCAUGUUGGGCUACAGUGACUUAAAGCCCAAGCUACAGACAUUAAAUAAUUAAAUUGCUUUUCGAUUCACUGCAAAAUUUGCACAAUUGUUCUAUUAGCAAUGAUUGCUAAUGCCAGAAAGAAAUGUGAAUGAAACUUUAACAAAAAUAAAAAAAUUGAAAGGUU